ensembl:lncRNA
CUGAAAGAGAAACAAGAAGUCUCAAGUCAGGAAGCUGCUUCAUUUGCUGCUUAGGUAAAACUAUAGAAAACUUUUUGCAUUAGGGCUAAACUUAGUGCCAUCUAGAAUGCAAUGCAGGCUGGAGGAGCUGAAGAAUAAGUGCAGAGAGUCUUCCAGACCCAACAUUGUUCACAAUCCGGACAGAAUGGCCCAGUUCAGCUCUCCAGUCUGCUUAGAGGAUGGACAGGGCAUCUGAAUUUCUGCAUUUGUAAUCUCAGAAUGGAUUGGAUUGGAAGAGACUUUAAAGUUCAUCUAGUUCCAACUCCCUGCCAUGGGCAGGGCUGCUACCCAGCAGCUCAGGCUGCCCAGGUCCCCAUCCAACCUGGCCUUGAAUGCCUCCAGGGAUGGGGCACCCACAGCUUCUCUGGGCAACCUGUGCCAGGGCCUCACCACCCUCUGAGUAAAGAAUUUUCUUCUAACAUCUAAUCUAAAUCUCCCCUCUGAUCAUCCUCAUGGCCCUCCUCUGGGUGCACUCCAAGAGCUCUGCAUCCUACUUGUACUGGGGUCUCCAGGUCUGGAUGCAAUACUCCAGAUGGGGCCUCACAGUACAGGGGUCAGUCACUUCCCUCAGCCCACUGACCACAGUUCCUUCCACAGACCUUCAAACCAUCUACCAACACUAGUGAAUCUGGAGAGACAAGCUUUAUUGUACAGAAGGAGUAGCCGAAGUUUAGCUAAUAAUUAAAAACUUCACAGUUAUAUCC